UACGGAGGAUUCGAGCGUUAUCCGGAUUUAUUGGGUUUAAAGGGAGCGUAGGUGGAUUGUUAAGUCAGUUGUGAAAGUUUGCGGCUCAACCGUAAAAUUGCAGUUGAAACUGGCAGUCUUGAGUACAGUAGAGGUGGGCGGAAUUCGUGGUGUAGCGGUGAAAUGCUUAGAUAUCACGAAGAACUCCGAUUGCGAAGGCAGCUCACUAGACUGUUACUGACACUGAUGCUCGAAAGUGUGGGUAUCAAACAGG
rnacentral:rRNA from 1 species